UAGGGAAUCUUCCACAAUGGACGCAAGUCUGAUGGAGCAACGCCGCGUGAGUGAAGAAGGUUUUCGGACCGUAAAGCUCUGUUGUUGGUGAAGAAGGAUAGAGGUAGUAACUGGCCUUUAUUUGACGGUAAUCAACCAGAAAGUCACGGCUAACUACGUGCCAGCAGCCGCGGUAAUCGUAGGUGGCAAGCGUUGUCCGGAUUUAUUGGGCGUAAAGCGAGCGCAGGCGGAAGAAUAAGUCUGAUGUGAAAGCCCUCGGCUUAACCGAGGAAUUGCAUCGGAAACUGUUUUCUUGAGUGCAGAAGAGGAGAGUAGAACUCCAUGUGUAGCGGUGGAAUGCGUAGAUAUAUGGAAGAAUACCAGUGGCGAAGGCGGCUCUCUGGUCUGCAACUGACGCUGAGGCUCGAAAGCAUGGGUAGCGAACAGGAUUAGAUACCCUUGGUAGUCCAUGCCGUAAACGAUGAGUGCUAAGUGUUGGGAGGCUUCCGCCUCUCAGUGCUGCAGCUAACGCAUUAAGCACUCCGCCUGGGGGAGUACGACCGCAAGGUU
rnacentral:rRNA from 1 species